rnacentral:rRNA from 1 species
GUUGACCUCGGAUCAGGUAGGACUACCCGCUGAAUUAAAAGCAUAU